rnacentral:rRNA from 1 species
CUCAGUAACGGCGAGUGAAGCGGCAACAGCUCAAAUUUGAAAUUUGGCCGUUCAGCGGUCCGAGUUGUAAUUUGUAGAGGAUGCUUUGGGUGCGGCGCCGGUCUAAGUUCCUUGGAACAGGACGUCAUAGAGGGUGAGAAUCCCGUAUGUGACCGGUGACCCAGCCCGUGUGAAGCUCCUUCGACGAGUCGAGUUGUUUGGGAAUGCAGCUCUAAAUGGGUGGUAAAUUUCAUCUAAAGCUAAAUACCGGCCAGAGACCGAUAGCGCACAAGUAGAGUGAUCGAAAGAUGAAAAGCACUUUGGAAAGAGAGUUAAAAAGUACGUGAAAUUGUUGAAAGGGAAGCGCUUGCGACCAGACUCGCUCGCGGGCGAUCAGCCGUCCUUUUGGGCGGUGCACUCGCCCGUGAUCGGGCCAGCAUCGGUUCGGGCGGCCGGAUAACGGCCCCGGGAAUGUGGCUCCCCUCGGGGAGUGUUAUAGCCCGGGGCGCAAUGCGGCCCGCCGGGACCGAGGACCGCGCUUCGGCUAGGAUGCUGGCGUAAUGGUCGUAAGCGACCCGUCUUGAAACACGGACCAAGGAGUCUAACAUCUGUGCGAGUGUUUGGGUGUCAAACCCAUGCGCGGAAUGAAAGUGAACGGAGGUGGGAACCCUUCAGGGUGCACCAUCGACCGAUCCUGAUGUCUUCGGAUGGAUUUGAGUAAGAGCAUAGCUGUUGGGACCCGAAAGAUGGUGAACUAUGCCUGAAUAGGGUGAAGCCAGAGGAAACUCUGGUGGAGGCUCGCAGCGGUUCUGACGUGCAAAUCGAUCGUCAAUUGGGUAUAGGGGCGAANGACUAAUCNAACCAUCUAGUAGCUGGGUCCUGCC